GACGAACGCUGGCGGCGUGCCUAAUACAUGCAAGUUGAGCGCUGAAGGUUGGUACUUGUACCGACUGGAUGAGCAGCGAACGGGUGAGUAACGCGUGGGGAAUCUGCCUUUGAGCGGGGGACAACAUUUGGAAACGAAUGCUAAUACCGCAUAAUAACUUUAAACACAAGUUUUAAGUUUGAAAGAUGCAAUUGCAUCACUCAAAGAUGAUCCCGCGUUGUAUUAGCUAGUUGGUGAGGUAAAGGCCCACCAAGGCGAUGAUACAUAGCCGACCUGAGAGGGGGAUCGGCCACAUUGGGACUGAGACACGGCCCAAACUCCUACGGGAGGCAGCAGUAGGGAAUCUUCGGCAAUGGACGAAAGGCUGACCGAGCAACGCCGCGGGAGUGAAGAAGGGUCUCGGAUCGGAAAACUCUGUUGGUAGGGAAGAAAGUUGGGGAGAGUGGAAAGCUCAUCAAGUGACGGUAACUACCCAGAAAGGGACGGCUAACUACGUG
rnacentral:rRNA from 1 species